GACGAACGCUGGCGGCGUGCUUAACACAUGCAAGUCGAACGCUGAAGCUCAGCUUGCUGGGUGGAUGAGUGGCGAACGGGUGAGUAACACGUGAGUAACCUGCCCCCUUCUUUGGGAUAACGCCCGGAAACGGGUGCUAAUACUGGAUAUUCACUGAUCUUCGCAUGGGGGUUGGUGGAAAGGUUUUUUCUGGUGGGGGAUGGGCUCGCGGCCUAUCAGCUUGUUGGUGGGGUGAUGGCCUACCAAGGCUUUGACGGGUAGCCGGCCUGAGAGGGUGACCGGUCACAUUGGGACGGAGAUACGGCCCAGACUCCUACGGGAGGCAGCAGUGGGGAAUAUUGCACAAUGGGCGAAAGCCUGAUGCAGCGACGCCGCGUGAGGGAUGGAGGCCUUCGGGUUGUAAACCUCUUUCGCUCAUGGUCAAGCCGCAACAUUGGUUGUGGUGAGGGUAGUGGGUAAAGAAGCGCCGGCUAACUACGU
rnacentral:rRNA from 1 species